rnacentral:rRNA from 1 species
AGGGAAUCUUCGGCAAUGGACGAAAGUCUGACCGAGCAACGCCGCGUGAGUGAAGAAGGUUUUCGGAUCGUAAAACUCUGUUGUUAGAGAAGAACAAGGAUGAGAGUAACUGUUCAUCCCUUGACGGUAUCUAACCAGAAAGCCACGGCUAACUACGUGCCAGCAGCCGCGGUAAUACGUAGGUGGCAAGCGUUGUCCGGAUUUAUUGGGCGUAAAGCGAGCGCAGGCGGUUUCUUAAGUCUGAUGUGAAAGCCCCCGGCUCAACCGGGGAGGGUCAUUGGAAACUGGGAGACUUGAGUGCAGAAGAGGAGAGUGGAAUUCCAUGUGUAGCGGUGAAAUGCGUAGAUAUAUGGAGGAACACCAGUGGCGAAGGCGGCUCUCUGGUCUGUAACUGACGCUGAGGCUCGAAAGCGUGGGGAGCAAAC